rnacentral:rRNA from 1 species
CACUUAAAGUUUGACCCCCCGAAACUAAGCGAGCUACUUUACAACAGCCCACAGAGCUAACCCGUCCCUGUUACAAAAGGGUGGGAAGAUUCUAAAGUAGAGGUGACACACCCAUCGAGCCUAGAGAUAGCUGGUUAUUCAGGAAAAGGAUUUAAGUCCAACUUUAAGCAGGCCCCCAUAGUAACACUAAACACAUACCAACAGCUUAAAAGCCAUUCAAACAGGGUACAGCCCAUUUGAACAAGGAAACAGCCUCCUAUACCGGGUAAUGACCAACACACGUGAUCAAGUAGGCCCAAAAGCAGCCAACUUCCAAAAAGCGUCCAAGCUUCUCCACAAACCAUCCCCAAUCCCACCAUCAAAGCACAACCCACACCCAAUACUGAAUGAUCCCAUGCCCGCAUGAGAGACACCAUGCUAGAACUAGUAACAAGAAGCAAACGCUUCUCCAAAAUGUAAGCAUAAGCCAAAAUGAACCCACCACCGGCACCCACCGCCCAUCCCACAGUAUUACCCACCCCCAAGAAAAGCCUACUGCACCU